rnacentral:rRNA from 1 species
UACAGAGGGUGCAAGCGUUAAUCGGAAUUACUGGGCGUAAAGCGUGCGCAGGCGGUUCGUUAAGACAGAUGUGAAAUCCCCGGGCUUAACCUGGGAACUGCAUUUGUGACUGGCGAGCUAGAGUAUGGCAGAGGGGGGUAGAAUUCCACGUGUAGCAGUGAAAUGCGUAGAGAUGUGGAGGAAUACCGAUGGCGAAGGCAGCCCCCUGGGCCAAUACUGACGCUCAUGCACGAAAGCGUGGGGAGCAAACAGG